GGGGUUGUGGCUCAAUGGUAGAGUGCUUGCCUAGCAUGUGUGAAGCCCUGGGUUUGAUUCUCAGCACCA
rnacentral:tRNA from 1 species